rnacentral:rRNA from 1 species
AACGAACGCUGGCGGCAUGCCUAACACAUGCAAGUCGAACGAGAUCUUCGGGUCUAGUGGCGCACGGGUGCGUAACGCGUGGGAAUCUGCCCUUUGGUUCGGAAUAACAGUUGGAGACGACUGCUAAUACCGGAUGAUGACGAAAGUCCAAAGAUUUAUCGCCAGAGGAUGAGCCCGCGUAGGAUUAGCUAGUUGGUGUGGUAAAGGCGCACCAAGGCGACGAUCCUUAGCUGGUCAGAGAGGAUGAUCAGCCACACUGGGACUGAGACACGGCCCAGACUCCUACAGGAGGCAGCAGUGGGGAAUAUUGGACAAUGGGCGAAAGCUUGAUCAAGCAAUGCCGCGUGAGUGAUGAAGGCCUUAGGGUUGUAAAGCUCUUUUACCCGGGAUGAUAAUGACAGUAACGGGAGAAUAAGCUCCGGUUAACUCCGUGCCAGCAGCCGCGGUAA